rnacentral:rRNA from 1 species
AACGAACGCUGGCGGCAUGCCUAACACAUGCCAGUCGAACGAGACCUUCGGGUCUAGUGGCGCACGGGUGCGUAACGCGUGGGAACCUGCCUUUAGGUUCGGAAUAACUCAGAGAAAUUUGAGCUAAUACCGGAUGAUGUCUUCGGACCAAAGAUUUAUCGCCUUUAGAUGGGCCCGCGUUGGAUUAGCUAGUUGGUGGGGUAAAGGCCUACCAAGGCGACGAUCCAUAGCUGGUCUGAGAGGAUGAUCAGCCACACUGGGACUGAGACACGGCCCAGACUCCUACGGGAGGCAGCAGUGGGGAAUAUUGGACAAUGGGCGAAAGCCUGAUCCAGCAAUGCCGCGUGAGUGAUGAAGGCCUUAGGGUUGUAAAGCUCUUUUACCCGAGGUGAUAAUGACAGUAUCGGGAGAAUAAGCGCCGGCUAACUCCGUG